GAUGAACGCUGGCGGCGUGCCUAAUACAUGCAAGUCGAGCGAACAGACGAGGAGCUUGCUCCUCUAACGUUAGCGGCGGACGGGUGAGUAACACGUGGAUAACCUACCUAUAAGACUGGGAUAACUUCGGGAAACCGGAGCUAAUACCGGAUAAUAUAUUGAACCUCAUGGUUCAAUAGUGAAAGACGGUUUUGCUGUCACUUGUAGAUGGAUCCGCUCCGCAUUAGCUAGUUGGUAAGGUAACAGCUUACCAAGGCAACGAUGCGUAGCCGACCUGAGAGGGUGAUCGGCCACACUGGAACUGAGACACGGUCCAGACUCCUACGGGAGGCAGCAGUAGGGAAUCUUCCGCAAUGGGGGAAAGCCGGACGGAGCAACGCCGCGGGAGUGAUGAAGGUCUUCGGAUCGUAAAACUCUGUUAUUAGGGAAGAACAAGUGUGUAAGGAACUAUGCACGUCUUGACGGUACCUAAUCAGAAAGCCACGGCUAACUACGUG
rnacentral:rRNA from 1 species